GUCCAUUUUACCACACACACACACACACACACACACACACACACACACUAAAAAUAACCCUCAAAGCUGAUUAGGAAUCAUUUUGGUAUAUUUGUUCAGAAUUAUUUGUUGUCACUUGGCCAAUUAUGUUUUUUCAUAAAAAUUAGAGGUCUGAGCUUGUCCCCAGUACAUGUAAUAUAAAUGUGUGUGUCCUUAUAAAAUUGCAUUUCAGAAAAUGGAAAAAAAAAGUAUGCGGCAUUCCGAUUUAUGAGAUGAGGGAGCAAACGUAAAAUUUACCUUUGUAAUUUUGCUGAAGUUUACAGCAAAAUAUCCUUCUUGAGGUUUAUUAAACUCUAAUCAUUUUCUUGAAAGAUUAGCAGCAAUUAUCAUUAAGGUUUAAGCAUUUAACUGUGACUACUACAAUAAAUCUUAUUAAAAUAACUGAAACAUACUUUUUUCGCAUGUGGCAACCUGUCUCUGAAUCACAACCAUCUGUAAGUGGUGAUUGCCUGGUGCACACAGAUGGGAGUAAAACAACGAUCAGGCUAUACCAUUCUUUCAUCAUCGCUUGGUACCAAACAAACUGAAAUCUGAGUCAGACUAUUUGCAUUUGAAAGAUUCUAUGAUCGCUAUAAUUAACAAAUACUCGUUGGCUUCCCAAUAUAAAAUGUGUGAUAGGUACCUGACUGAAAAUAACACUUGAACUGUGCAGCCUCUCUUUCUAAUCUCUGACAGCCUAUAAAAAAAAAUCAGACAUUAACAAUAGAGGAGCAGGUUUCAAGUUUUUAUAGCACACAAUUCCUUUACAGAUUUAAGAUGACAGAAGAAGAGAACAGCCUAAUUUAUUCUUCCUGGCUUGCGGCACAGAAUCAUGAAGGCUCUCGGUCAUAACUUCAGGGCUACACUAAAUUCCUGCCAGCCAGGAUCAGUUACAAAGGCCUCUGGAUCUUGGGAUAAUAGAAAUGAAGGUAUGGAAGGCUGAGACAGUUGACCUGCAUCAUCUUAGGAGAUUUUAUUAUCAUCUGAAUCUCAGAAUCAGACCCAAAAGAAUGAGAGAUGUUGUUCUCAACUACCUCCUAGACAGCAAACGUACCCUGGACUCCUAGAGGUUUGGAGACUCUCUUGCCACAGGGGGAAAUUAACAGGGCUCUAUUUGGAAAUGCUUCUGCUUACAGAGGCCAUAGACUCUGGUGAGGGGCCUAGGAUUAUUGGCCCUAUAUGGAAGCAAAAGGAUAACUUCUCUAAGUCUUGAGAAAUAAAAGGUAUUUGGGAUGUAUGAGGGACAGAGACUCCUCUUUUUUUGUACACAGUGCCCAGAUGAGGGGGAAGGUUUUGGAGUGGCCUUUGGGAGGUAAGUUAGUGGCUCUUCCCUCUACCUAGAAUGUUCUUCCCCCAAAUAUUCACAUGUCUGAUUCCACACCUCAUCCAAGACUCUAAUCACAUGUCAUGAGCUUCUGAAAGCCUUCCUGAUUACUCAAAAAAUCGACUCUGACACCCCACCAUCACCUUCUCUCUUCUUACUUUGUCUUUUAUUGCUUUCCAAUUCUGAUCUCAACCUGAUAUUUUAUAACAUACAUAUUGUACCUACCUAUUUAUAUAUUUAUGUAGAAGCUUAUUGUUCUUCUCCACUAAAAUUUAUGCCCUUUGAAGGCAGAGAUUUGAGUUUAUUCAACAUUACAUAACUAAUACACAGUAAAAAAUAUUUGUUACGUGAUAAGUUUCCCAGAUCCCUUGAAAGGACAUAAAACAUACAAAUGUGGGGAUCCCUGGGUGGCUCGGCAGUUUAGCACCUGCCUUUGGCCCAGGGCGUAAUCCUG
rnacentral:lncRNA from 1 species